GAUUUCAGGGCAGGGAUGGAAGAGGGAUGGGCAUUACCUGGUGUCUCCUAAGCCCAUCUGAGUGGACAGAAGAGCCCAAUGGUCGCAGCCUCGGGUUGUAAGGUUGGCAUCCCUGAGCUCCACCAGAGCCACCAAGCAGCAGAGAGGCACUCAAGGUUCCACUGAGCCAAGGGAACUGAAGAUCUAGCGGGAAACAGAAGGUGUGGCUUGGUCAGAUGGAGGGUGUAGCAAGUGGAAGUGAUCAAGUGGGAAGAUCCAGGACCCCAGGAGCUGGAGAUAAAAUGAUAAAUAGAAGGAGAAGAUGCUGUAGGCGAUGACAGGAGGCUGGUUUUCAAAGGCGUCAGAGAAGGAAGAUGGGCUCUGAAGGCAGCAAUGGCCUCUAGAAAGCGUUUGCAGGAAGUGUCUUGUUUCUAUUCAUGCCUAAUAAGGAUGAAACAAAGGAGAAAAAGGGUGCCCCGUUUCUUGGAUGAGGGCUUCGGGAUGUGAUAUGCAAGAGCCUUCAGAGGAAAUGACUUGGGGCAAUCCUGAGAUGCCCCAAGGAGGACAUCGAAGAUUAAGUUCAAAAUUUUGUCACUGUGUGGUGUUAACACUCGACUGACCCACACAUGGAACCUACAACUAAGGGGUGUGGGGACCCCAGUUAGGUGGACAGAAGCCAUAGUAACAAAAGGGACACCUUGCACAUACUGCAGACCUUGGGAUUGUACCCAAGGCAUGAUUUCAUUGGGGGGAGAAUCGAGCUCUUUAACCAAAUCUUCAAAAGGCAGAAAAAAUAGGAAAAAUUACAAAACCAAGAGAAAAAUAUAGUCAAGUCCUUACUGUGCUACCACAGAAAGUAUCUUGAACACUAAAUGGGAAAUAUGACUCACAACUGCUGGAUCCUGAUUCUCCCGGCCAGGAACAGGAACAAAUACUGCAAAAUGCUGGCAUGAACUCUCAGGCGAAGAGAGGAGCUGAAGGGCAGUCCGCUUCCCGUCUGAGUCACGGCAUCAUUACUGCCAAAGAAAAACCAUAAUCGAGCAUAUACACUACCCUACCUGUCUUUGAGUGUCUGACAAACAAAAGUGAAUUUGGCAUACUUUUAGAAGACACUUCAAGAUUCUAAGACACCUGACCUUUUGCCGGUACUCUCAGCAGAUGGUUCAGAGUCUUAUAAAGGAACAAUACCCUCAUGAGGCCUGCAGUGACUGUUCAUUAGAACUGCCUUCCCUUCCCUGAAGGGAUUGCACUGGAUAUGGAAGAUCUGAAUUAACUCACCAAGAUUUCAAUAAUGUUUCAAUGGGAUUACAACUACAAACUUCCCAGACCGUGAAGAGGACAAAAAGGAAUUAUAAUAUUUGGAUUAUGAUACCCUUGUAUACUCUAACUACAACAUUCAGCAACUGUUGUAUUCAUUCAUCUUUUACAAAAGGAGAACUGACAAUGUUGAACUUUCCCUGAGGUUUAUGUUCCUGGGAAACAGUGAUGAUUAAGAAAUUCACUCAUCAUUGUCCAAGAAAAGAUAAAAGAUAAGAUGAAGGUCCAUAAUACAUGUGUAUCAGCGCCUGUGGCCAACUGUGUUUUUGACAGUGGGGAAGAACAGUCUUUUUAAUAAAUGAUUGUGAGACAAGUGAAUAGCUACAAGCAAAACAAGGACUUAAAUUCUCACUUCACAGCAUAAGUAAAAGGUGAUUAGGUCAAAGUAAAAUUAGAUACCUAAACCCAAAAGCUAAAACUGUAAACAUGUUGCAGAAAAAAAGGUGACUCUUCAUGACCUCAGAUCUGUGAUGGACAUCAAAAGCACAAGCAUCAAAUGAAAAAUAUUGCUAAAAUGAGCAUAAUAUAAAUGAUAAAAAAAUUACCUUCAAAGGAUAGUAUCAGGAUGUGCUCGAUAGCUGAGUGCUUGCCUGCCACGUGGGGGUCCCUGGCUUCGAAAGCCCAGCACUGCACACUCACACACAUGAGUGAGAAAAAACCACAGGCUCUAGAGAUUCUUAUACAUUAUAUAUCUGAUAGAGAAAUUUGUGUCUUGGAAAUAGAAAGGACAGUUACAACACAAUAAAAAAACAAGUCACAUAACCUAAACAAAAGUAGAAAAAUAUCUACACAAAUAUGUCUGAAAGGGAGAGGAAGGAACAUCCAAUAAGCAUAUGAAAAGAUGCUCUGUGCUGUUAAUCAUUAAGUAAAUGCAAAUCACAGUGGAAAUUACACCCCACCUCAGCAUCAAAAUAGCUAAAAUUGAAGUGUUGACAAGGACCCGGAGGAACGAAAAUCUUGUGGACUUCUAGUGGAAAUAUAAAAUAAUGCAGGAACUAGCGCAGCAACAUGUCAAUUUUCUUCAAAGUUAAAUAUAGAUUUAUCAUUUGAUACAGACACCCACUGCUAGCAUGGCCAAGAGAAAUGCAAACACGAAAACUUGGACGCAAGUGUCUGUGGCUGGAGUUUUCAUAGUAGCUAUAAUGUUGAAAUCAACUUAAGUAUCAAUUAAUUGGUGAAUGGGUAGAAGACUAUGUGGCAUAUCCAUACAGUGGAAUAUUAUUUCAACAUUAAAAGGAAUGAAGCAUUGAUACACACUGCAACUUGGAUGACCUUGAAUACAUUCUGCUAAGUUAGAGUACCAGUCACAAGUGACAGCAUAUGAAUGAUUUGCUUAUAUAUAGCGUCCAGAAUAAACCCAGAGGGAAAAACGUCAGCUAAAAGUUGCUUAGAGAUGGGAGGGCUGAGGUUGUGGAUAUAGUAGGCAAACGGUAAUUUGUUUUUGAGAUGAUGAAACUUCUCUAAAAUUGCCUGUAGUGAUAGGUUCUAAAUACAUCAGUAUACUAAAAACUGUUUUAAAUGAACAAAUUCUGUCGUUUGUUAACUGUUAUCUCAAUAAAACUGUUAGAAACAAAGAAAGAUGAAUGAUGUAUGUUAGCAGUCGGGAGCCCAUUGUGAACUAUCAGUGCCCAUGAUUUUUCCUAUUUCACAUCGUUUUAUGAGUCAUUUGGAGAGUACCAUGUUGAUUUUGUCUGACGCAUUCAUAUAAUUCAUUUUAGCUGGAGACUUGACAGACUAGAAGACAUAAGAUGAUGUCUCUUACCUGUCUGACCGCCUGCUGCUGGCUUUUCACUGGGAAACUUUGCUUUUUUCCCACAUGACCCUUCAUCUUUUGGUAGCUAAACUCAUUUUCCCUUCAUGGCUGUCUCUGAGGAGUGUUCUGAGAAAAUAAAACCAGAAGGUGUAAGAUAUGUUAAGUCUCACCUGGGAAAUCAAAUUUUCAUUUCCAUCAGUCUGUUGGUCAAAGCAAGACUCGAGAAAAUGGUGAGAAAACCUUCAGCUCAUACUCAAGAAGAUGGGGAUAAAAACUUUACAACUGGAUGGGUGGCUGGGCGGUCACAUUGUAAUAUAGCUCUGUCUUACUAAUUUACCACAGUUUCCUUAGGAUUUUGAACUUUAUCUUUUAGUGAUUGGGACAACCCCAAAAAGACCUCAAGUGGAGUAAUCUAUGAUCAAGUUUGUGUUUUUAGGAAAAUGACUACAUGUGAAAGAAUAAGAGGAAAAUCUGAAGUUAGGCAAAAAUGAGUGUAUUCAUAAUAAUAAUAAAAUAAUUUAUUUAGAGAUGACAAGGUAUUGAACAAAGACUGAAUGGGGGUAAAUCUUAAGAAUUUUUGACUCCGAUUUGGCAGACAUCUUUCCCAAUUAUAAACAGCAUAGCUCAUAGCACUAGACUGUAUGUGUGUGCAUAAAUUAUGUAUCACCUGAAUAGUAGAAAAUAAGGGAACAAUAAACAGAAUUUAGCGUGAUGAUUUUUGUGUGCUUUUAUAGCAUAAGCUGCUACAAAUUUUCUGAAUUUUCUAUUUUUUUUUUUUUUGUCUUUUUUGAGACAAGGUUCCACUAGGCAGUUCAGGCUGGACUGGAACUCACAGCAACCCUCCUAUCUCAGCCUUCCAAGUGCUGGAAUUAUAGGCAUGGGCCACCACGCCUGGCUCCUGAAUUCCUACUGAAUGGUGGGCUCAUAUUUGCUUAUAAAAUUGAUAGAGAGUCAGAGGGGGUGUAGUAGGGAGAG